rnacentral:rRNA from 1 species
UACGUAGGGGGCAAGCGUUGUCCGGAUUUAUUGGGCGUAAAGAGCGUGUAGGCGGCUUCACAGGUCCGCUGUGAAAACUCGAGGCUCAACCUCGAGCUGUCGGUGGAAACCGUGUGGCUAGAGUCCGGAAGAGGAGAGUGGAAUUCCCGGUGUAGCGGUGAAAUGCGCAGAUAUCGGGAAGAGCACCCGUGGCGAAGGCGGCUCUCUGGGACGGUACUGACGCUGAGACGCGAAAGCGUGGGGAGCGAACAGG